rnacentral:rRNA from 1 species
GACGAACGCUGGCGGCGUGCCUAACACAUGCAAGUCGAACGGGGUAAUUUCCUUCGGGAGAUUACUUAGUGGCGAACGGGUGAGUAACGCGUGAGAAACCUGCCUCUCAGUGGGGGACAACAGUUGGAAACGACUGCUAAUACCGCAUAAUGUUUUGGAAGGGCAUCCUUCUGAAACCAAAGCUUUAUGUGCUGAGAGAUGGUCUCGCGUCUGAUUAGCUAGAUGGCGGGUAACGGCCCACCAUGGCGACGAUCAGUAGCCGGUCUGAGAGGAUGAACGGCCACAUUGGGACCUGAGAUACGGCCCAGACUCCUACGGGAGGCAGCAGUGGGGAAUAUGGGCAAUGGGGGAAACCCUGACCCAGCAACGCCGCGUGAAGGA